CUGGCGGCAGGCUUAACACAUGCAAGUCGAGCGGACCUUUCGGGGUCAGCGGCGGACGGGUGAGUAACGCGUGGGAACGUGCCUUCUGGUUCGGAAUAACCCUGGGAAACUAGGGCUAAUACCGGAUACGCCCUUAUGGGGAAAGGUUUACUGCCGGAAGAUCGGCCCGCGUCUGAUUAGCUAGUUGGUGGGGUAACGGCCUACCAAGGCGACGAUCAGUAGCUGGUCUGAGAGGAUGAUCAGCCACACUGGGACUGAGACACGGCCCAGACUCCUACGGGAGGCAGCAGUGGGGAAUAUUGGACAAUGGGCGCAAGCCUGAUCCAGCCAUGCCGCGUGAGUGAUGAAGGCCUUAGGGUUGUAAAGCUCUUUUAUCCGGGACGAUAAUGACGGUACCGGAGGAAUAAGCCCCGGCUAACUUCGUGCCAGCAGCCGCGGUAAUACGAAGGGGGCUAGCGUUGCUCGGAAUCACUGGGCGUAAAGGGCGCGUAGGCGGCGUUUUAAGUCGGGGGUGAAAGCCUGUGGCUCAACCACAGAAUGGCCUUCGAUACUGGGACGCUUGAGUAUGGUAGAGGUUGGUGGAACUGCGAGUGUAGAGGUGAAAUUCGUAGAUAUUCGCAAGAACACCGGUGGCGAAGGCGGCCAACUGGACCAUUACUGACGCUGAGGCGCGAAAGCGUGGGGAGCAAACAGGAUU
rnacentral:rRNA from 3 species